rnacentral:lncRNA from 1 species
UUGUCCUUAUAUUGGAGAUAAUAAUAGUAUCUAUUUCUUAGUGUAUGUGUAUGUGUGUGUGUGUGAGAUGUUUAGAAUAAAGAGAAAAUACCAUGGGAUGUGUGAUUAGUGUGUGGAAAAGUUAGUGAUCAAUAAACUUUAAUAAUUAUUCACUACUGUAUUAAACAUUACCAUGGUCAUCUCCUCCUCCUCAUCUCCUCCAAAGUUUAAGAAGCACCUAGUAUGGCUAGGUUCUGCUUAUUUUAUAUCUUGAAAAGUUAAAAUGAGAUAUAUUCAAGACUUGAUUCUGGAUGACCUCUUCAUUUUCCACAGUAAUAUUGAAAAGUCCAUCCAAUAAAGCUGGCUAAGCAGAGAAAAUCAACUACAUCAAUGUAUAUAUUUGUUGAGUCCAAAACACUUAUUAUUCUGCUAAGAGCUUCAAGUUUUUCUCAUUUAAUCUUUAUAGAAACUCUCAGAGAACUCAAGCAAUUUGCUCAGAGUCUGCAACAUGGAAUGUACAAAGGUAUGAUUUGAACGCUCGUCUGUUUGAAUUCUGAAGACCAUGCCCCUUCCACAUAACAACGUCAUCCUCACUGCACCAAACAAAACCAUGUGGAAGGAGAGACGAUCACCAGAUUUCACUCAUCGCUGUCAUCACGGUCAUUUCUCCCCAGUUUCCUCAAAAUGGCAAUGACAAUUCCUCUCGUAAAGGGCAUAGAUCCCUGGAGCGCUCUCUGAAGAUUCAAAACCUUGGUUUUCCCAAAGGCUCUUCUCCCUUCCUCACACUGUCUAUCCUGACUCUGGAUGAUGUCACUAGCCCCUUGUGUCAUCACUCAGCUCUGCUGCCUCUUUACAAGAGCUGGAGUUGCUGAUGAAAAAAGCAUGGAUCCCUGAACCACCCAGUGGAGAAGGGUGACAUGGGAGAGCCACCUGACACACAUUAGACAGUGCUGGGGUGACAAUCCUGGGUUGUGUUAAGGCAUUGAAAUCUGAAGAUUUAUUUGUUCCUGCAGAAUCACUCAACAUUCAUUUACAGCAGAGGAUAAAGAAUAUGUUCAGGGUUUCUGCAAAGAUUAACUGAGAUAAUUUAUGCAGAGUACAGAACAAUGUCUGGCACAAUAAUCAUUUUGUGGCAUCC